rnacentral:miRNA from 10 species
UGGACUGAUGGUCCUUGCAUAGU